GCGGGUAUAGUAUAGUGGUUAUUAUACGUGCUUGCCAAGCACGAUAGACGGGUUCGAUUCCCGUUACCCGCU
rnacentral:tRNA from 1 species